rnacentral:rRNA from 1 species
AGAGCGAACGCUGGCGGCAGGCUUAACACAUGCAAGUCGAGCGGGCGUAGCAAUACGUCAGCGGCAGACGGGUGAGUAACGCGUGGGAACGUACCUUUUGGUUCGGAACAACACAGGGAAACUUGUGCUAAUACCGGAUAAGCCCUUACGGGGAAAGAUUUAUCGCCAAAAGAUCGGCCCGCGUCUGAUUAGCUAGUUGGUGAGGUAACGGCUCACCAAGGCGACGAUCAGUAGCUGGUCUGAGAGGAUGAUCAGCCACAUUGGGACUGAGACACGGCCCAAACUCCUACGGGAGGCAGCAGUGGGGAAUAUUGGACAAUGGGCGCAAGCCUGAUCCAGCCAUGCCGCGUGAGUGAUGAAGGCCCUAGGGUUGUAAAGCUCUUUUGUGCGGGAAGAUAAUGACGGUACCGCAAGAAUAAGCCCGGCUAACUUCGUGCCAGCAGCCGC